CUUCCUGAACUGACCGUUAGUCCAGUCCACCCAAGAGAAACCUCUCUCGGCCGCUCUGUCGUCCCACUCCGUGGCUCCGCUAGAUUUUUAACUCCACUGCCCGUCCUACCUUGUCCAUUUCCAUUUGGUGCUUUUGACUUGUCCUUCACAGGUCCUCCCAAGUGGCUUCUCCCUCUAGCCACGCCCACGCCAACCCCGCCCUCAGUUACCCCGCCCCAUCCUCUCCUCAACCGGGGCUGGUCCCAUUGCGGACCCUUGGGACUGUGUGGAUACGUCAUGGUUUUGUCCAGGGAGAAGGACGUGUGUCUUGUCCGCAGGAGGAAUAUCACGCAGAUACUGGAUAAAGAUGAAAAGAACACCCUUGCCCAGCCAGCCUUCUGCACCUGGAAACCCGUGCAGGGUGUGCACAUGUGAGAAGAGCACUCAGAACCCAGAAACCCUCCAACUUGGACACCCAGAGGCGGACAAGCAAAGAUCCCCAGAACAGGGCAGCAGCCAGCCUAAGGGUCUGGGCAUAGAGUAUCAGCAAGCCAGGGGAUGGGGCAGGGGCUGGCUCUUCUCCCCCUGACUUCACCAGGCUGUGCACGGAUGUAAUGCCCUUUGCAAGUCAGCACCUGUGCAGCCAAGGCCAGUCUCUCAGGACAGGUGCAGACAUAGAGGCGAUAACAUAUGUAAGUGACCAAGAGUGGCUGAGAGUCACUUUUAGCAGUCUGGGAAGACGGUCUCAAACCCACCCCUGGCCCCCGCCUAAGAUAUGAGUUUCCUGGUCCUGGCCAUGUACCUGGUGAUGGGUUGGUGAGUGGACAGGGAGGAGUACUACUCACCUCCACACAGAUGUUGCAUGAGGGACAGUGGAAGGUCCAGAGUGGGCAGUGGAAAUAGCAUUUUGGGUACCAUUGCAUUUGGAAAGCCCUGCAGUACAUCCGUGCCACAUAUGGUGUCUUGUUUGAAGGAGCCUGGCAUGGGAAGAGGUUUGGCAUUGGCAGGAGGUCUUUCCAUCACUGUGAUGCUCGGGGCAGCCCCAUAGCAUCACUGGGCAACAGGAAGGGCGGGGAGGAGCUGGGCAGGGGAAUCGUGGUCCCUUUGAGCAAGCUGACCACUCCGAUGGGCGGGCAGUCAAAGAGAAGGGGGUUUCCAGCCAGAGGAGCUCCACCCUUCACAAGAGUGAUUGAUCAGUGCUUGAAAUCGUGUGUGAAUGGGAAGGAGGGAGAGUGAACUGCAUGGUUUGGAAGAGCCUGCUGGCCUCUCUCGCCAGCCUCCCGGUCCUCCCUUCUAAGGCAACUGGAAAACGUCCAGGAUUCUGUUUUUUCACACCUCAGUGGCUUGGGAUGUGAAGUGCCCCCUGAUCUAAGUAAUGACGACAUGGAGAGAAGGGAAUCUGAGCCAUAGGUGGGUUAGCACUUUGGAAAUCACCCCUGAAGGCAUCAGCCCUUUGGGUGCCCCCUCCUCCCCCUGGGGUCUGAGGCCUUACCUCGAUGUAAGAUACCAGGGUCUGACAAAUUGAGAGAAACCAGACUGCAGAAGGUGAUGAGAAACAGAAGGCUGGUCACCAGGGGAGAGGCCCCCUCCCUGUUCUGGGCCAGCCAUCUGCAUCUGACACCAGAGCCAGACUCAGUUCUAGUCUGGGGCAACCAGAGCUCCCCACAAGGCCUGGCUCACCUCAGGUAGGACUCACAGACCUUAAGGGCAGAUCUAAAUAUCCAGGCUAGAGACAGACCACGGAGACGCCACCAAAUGUCACCAGCAUUACCAGCCACCGGCAGUUCCCUAAAUGCACCAGGCACCCUAGACGUCUGUGCUGGCGCAGUCGCUUCUCUCUCGCUGUCACUCCCUGUGCACAUGUCACUGUCUAUUCUCCUUCUAUCUCUUUGUAAGAAACCUGAAUCCUUGCACAGGAGACUCAUGGAAAAGCAAAGAAGAGGCCACUAAAAGUGACCAGCAGCACCACACUGAAGAAGCAAUGAAACUUGGGAGAAACCAGAAGUGUGUGACUGGAGGCUGGGCUGGGCAUGACAUCCUUUGAGAACAGCAUGGCUGGGCUUCCUGUUCUCAGAGAAAUGAGAGCCACCAGUUUCCUUCCUUUGGAUUGGCACCCAUAGCAGGGAAGGAAAGAAGUAUCAAGUGUGACAUCACAGAAGUUCCGGAAUGGGGGCUCUGGCUGCUUCCAGGGACCCUCCCCUACCCCCACAUACACACAUGUUGUAGACUGGGACAUCCUCCUCUUACGAUGUUGGCUUUGUUGGAGCUUGUGACGAUGUGAUGUGGUUUGUCCCCCAAAGGUUCAUAGGCCGUAGGCUGGGUCCUCAGUGUGUCAGUGUUGAGGUGGUAAAACCUGUGAGAAGUGGGGCCUCAUGUGAGGUAAUUCAGUCCCUGGGGAUGAGGCCCUUGGAGGAAGUAAUUCUCAUGGGCCCCAAUUAGUUCCUGUGAGAGUGGGUUGGUGUAAAAAGAGCAAGAAGUCAGUCGCCAAAUCUUGGACUCUAAGCUCAAUAAACCUCAUCUUAAAAAGUA